rnacentral:lncRNA from 1 species
UAUAUAUAUAUAUAUAUAUAUGUAUAUAUACAUAUAUAUAUAUAUAUACAUAUAUAUAUAGUGUAGAGCUACUAUGCUAUCAGAAGCAUAAAGGGAUUAGUGCUUUCGAUUUUUUAGCCCUUGGAUCAAGGAUGGUACGGUUACGAUGAUAAUGGUCCUCCUUAGAGUUGAGUGGUCCCCCUGGGGUUGAGUGGUUCCCACUGGAUAAUAAUAUUAAUCCAAUGGUUAAAAAUGAUCAAAGGACCACAAACAUUUGAUUUUUAUCUGAAGUUUUAAAUAGGCAUGAAUGGUGGAUUCAUAUGAUCUAAAAAUAGU